AGGACAUCCUCUCCAAUCCACCACACACCACCUUACCCCUCUGCUGGCAAGAGGGGACCUGAUUCAUCUUCACGCUAAACAUUCAUUCUACCCAACUGAUUGAGACAGAACAGAAGAUAAACUGAAACUUCUCUGCCUUCGCACUGCAAGAGUGAAUGAGCGAUUCCUCUCAACUGACUCAAAAUGUUUGCCUCACCCAGGAGGGCUCCCUAUGCCUCUCCUUUUUUCCUUUCAUCUGUAUUAUUCUUGUUGCCAAAAUCUGGAGCCCUGUAAAGGCCCAGUAGUGGUGGCAACAAUAGAGCUGUGUGUCACCCCAGUGAGCUGGAAGAGCAGACAUCAAGCUCUACACCAGAGAACAGUGGGGCACCCCCAAAGUCCUGCUGGAAGCCAGCUCUGAUCUGGAACUGGCAAGGACAACACACGGUCGAGCUCUUUCUGGUCUCAGAGAAUCCAGGAGAGUCUUCAGGGAUCCUUCCAGACCCAGGAAGACUCUCACACUCUGCAGAGAAGUUGCGGCUUGUUUAGGAUUUGACCUACAUUCAGAAAUGACCAGCAUCCCAAUUUUCAGCUCUAAGGAUUACUUAAAAAAACAAAUGGUGUUCAUUCGCAAAUAUCUUGCCUUUCUCAUGAGAGAAAAAUGAAGCUUGUGAUUAGCCAGCAAA